AUUGAACGCUGGCGGCAUGCCUUACACAUGCAAGUCGAACGGUAACAGGUCUUCGGAUGCUGACGAGUGGCGAACGGGUGAGUAAUACAUCGGAACGUGCCCGAUCGUGGGGGAUAACGAAGCGAAAGCUUUGCUAAUACCGCAUACGAUCUACGGAUGAAAGCAGGGGACCGCAAGGCCUUGCGCGAACGGAGCGGCCGAUGGCAGAUUAGGUAGUUGGUGGGAUAAAAGCUUACCAAGCCGACGAUCUGUAGCUGGUCUGAGAGGACGACCAGCCACACUGGGACUGAGACACGGCCCAGACUCCUACGGGAGGCAGCAGUGGGGAAUUUUGGACAAUGGGCGAAAGCCUGAUCCAGCCAUGCCGCGUGCAGGAUGAAGGCCUCGGUUG
rnacentral:rRNA from 1 species